rnacentral:rRNA from 1 species
CCAUGCAAGUCGAACGGAGAUUACAGGCGGAAGUUUUCGGAUGGAAGCUUGUAAACUUAGUGGCGGACGGGUGAGUAACACGUGAGCAACCUGCCUAUCAGAGGGGGAUAACGAUUGGAAACGAUCGCUAAUACCGCAUGACAUAGCGGAACCGCAUGGUUCUGUUAUCAAAGAUUUAUCGCUGAUAGAUGGGCUCGCGUCCGAUUAGAUAGUUGGUGGGGUAACGGCCUACCAAGUCGACGAUCGGUAGCCGGACUGAGAGGUCGAACGGCCACAUUGGGACUGAGACACGGCCCAGACUCCUACGGGAGGCAGCAGUGGGGGAUAUUGCACAAUGGGGGAAACCCUGAUGCAGCGACGCCGCGUGAGGGAAGACGGUCCUCUGGAUUGUAAACCUCUGUCUUCGGGGACGAAACGAGACGGUACCCGAGGAGGAAGCCACGGCUAACUACGUGCCAGCAGCCGCGGUAAUACGUAGGUGGCAAGCGUUGUCCGGAAUUACUGGGUGUAAAGGGAGCGUAGGCGGGCAGGCAAGUCAGGCGUGAAAUAUAUCGGCUCAACCGGUAACGGCGCUUGAAACUGCAGGUCUUGAGUGAAGUAGAGGUUGGCGGAAUUCCUAGUGUAGCGGUGAAAUGCGUAGAUAUUAGGAGGAACACCAGUGGCGAAGGCGGCCAACUGGGCUUUUACUGACGCUGAGGCUCGAAAGUGUGGGGAGCAAACAGGAUUAGAUACCCUGGUAGUCCACACCGUAAACGAUGAUUACUAGGUGUGGGGGGACUGACCCCUUCCGUGCCGGAGUUAACACAAUAAGUAAUCCACCUGGGGGAGUAC